rnacentral:lncRNA from 1 species
GUUUAUGAUGAAAUUGCAUGAGGAAUCUUAGGGUCAAAAUUGGGGUCUUACACAUGCCCCUAUUUAAGGACAUUCUAACUAAGGAGGCGGGGGUUAAAAUCUUCAUGUCGACUCAGUAGAAUGGGCUUAAAUAACAACAUAGAAACAAAUUUUAGUCCCUAAGAGACCUCAUAAUGCAAAUGAUAUGAAUGUAAAAGUAAAUUCUUUGUGGGGAAAUAUUG